AUGGAUAGGCAAGGCAUUUCACCUUCGUUCUACAACAACAACGACGAGUUUGAUGCCAUGAAAAACAACUUGGACGACAAGAUGGAUGCUCAAAUGGACGAGAUCAAAUCCCUCAUCAAGGCCUACAAGCGGUCUUCCUCAUCUUCGAGAAGAUGCUCAAGACCACAUGCUUCUGAGCUACCAUCUCUGGCAAGAUCACAUCGGCAUCGACACCAUCAACGACAAGAACGUGAAGGUCAAGAGCUCAAUACCAACAACUGCUCAACGACUUCACCAUCUACCUUGGCAUCUUCACCAAACGACUUCAAGGCAUGUUUGCCUUUGGACAUGCGGCAUCUUCGCCAAAAAAACUCCUCAAGACUACGCUCAAGAAAAGCUCCCCAAGCUCAAGUCUGCGACUUCCACGAGCUUCUAUGA
rnacentral:rRNA from 1 species